CUCGAAACCUGCCCUGCAGAAUGACCGCGAACUGUCGUUUUCAAUUCAGCGGGGUGCGAGAGGCGUUGUCACUCGCGCCCCGCAUGCUCGGGAGACGUGGGCUCCCACGCCUUCUUGGGCUUCAACAACGAACCCCGGCGCGGAACGCGCCAAGGAACACGUACUAAAGGAGAACCAUCCUGUCGCCUCGGAAACGAUGUGCGCAGGGUGCCUUGUUUUUUGACUGUAACCACAACGACUCUCGGCAACGGAUAUCUCGGCUCUCGCAUCGAUGAAGAACGUAGCGAAAUGCGAUACUUGGUGUGAAUUGCAGAAUCCCGUGAACCAUCGAGUCUUUGAACGCAAGUUGCGCCUGAAGCCUUCUGGCCAAGGGCACGUCUGCCUGGGUGUCACAUAACGUAAGCCCCUCCAACCCCUUUGGUAAGGUGUGGGCGGACAUUGGCCUCCCGUGCGCCCCCGCUCGCGGUUGGCCCAAAUUUGAGUCCCCAGCGAUGAGCGCCACGACCAGCGGUGGUUGAAAGACCCUCGGACAGUGUCGGGCGCUCGCGUAUAGUCGGGAUGACCAAGACCCUGAAGCGUUCCUGUCGUGGAUGCUACCAUUGCGACCCCAGGUCAGGCGGGAUUACCCGCUGAAUUUAAGCAUAUC
rnacentral:rRNA from 1 species